rnacentral:rRNA from 1 species
CCCUUAGAUGUCCGGGGCCGCACGCGCGCUACACUGAAGGAAUCAGCGUGGCUUUCUCCCUGACCCGAAAGGGUUGGGAAACCCGUUGAAUCUCCUUCGUGAUAGGGAUUGGGGCUUGAAAUUGUUCCCCAUGAACGAGGAAUUCCCAGUAAGCGCGAGGCAUAAGCUCGCGUUGAUUACGUCCCUGCCCUUUGUACACACCGCCCGUCGCUACUACCGAUUGAACGGUUUAGUGAGGGCCUCGGAUUGGUCUCGGCCCGCUCUUUACCGGGCGGCGCCGUUGGUCGAGAAGACGCUCGAACUUGAUCGUUUAGAGGAAGUAAAAGUCGUAACA